AUAAGAUUAGUAUAUUAAUUACAUUUAACUUCCAAUUAAAAAAAUCUAAAACCUUUAGGAUCUUAUA
rnacentral:tRNA from 3 species